rnacentral:rRNA from 1 species
GACGAACGCUGGCGGCGUGCUUAACACAUGCAAGUCGAACGGAAAGGCCCUGCUUUUGUGGGGUGCUCGAGUGGCGAACGGGUGAGUAACACGUGAGUAACCUGCCCUUGACUUUGGGAUAACUUCAGGAAACUGGGGCUAAUACCGGAGAGGAGCUCCUGCUGCAUGGUGGUGGUUGGAAAGUUUCGGCGGUUGGGGAUGGACUCGCGGCUUAUCAGCUUGUUGGUGGGGUAGUGGCUUACCAAGGCUUUGACGGGUAGCCGGCCUGAGAGGGUGACCGGCCACAUUGGGACUGAGAUACGGCCCAGACUCCUACGGGAGGCAGCAGUGGGGAAUAUUGCACAAUGGGCGGAAGCCUGAUGCAGCAACGCCGCGUGCGGGAUGACGGCCUUCGGGUUGUAAACCGCUUUCGCCUGUGACGAAGCGUGAGUGACGGUAAUGGGUAAAGAAGCACCGGCUAACUACGUG